AGUGACAAACUCAGGAAAUACCCACUCGCUUCGCUUGUUAUGUAUGGGUAUUGUCGCGUCCCUAAAAUUAACUGUGACUGGAGUGUGCGUUCUCAGCGGAUCGUGUGAUGUGCGUUCAUUCGCGUUCAUGGAAGGUGAAGUGCGUGUGUUCGUAAGUGUGUGGCGAGGUUAGGCGCUCGGCGGUCAGUGUGUGUGCAGCCGUCAGUGGGGGUGGACGUUCCUCUUGUCCGCGCGCCGUCACUGGGUGAUUUUUUUUUCCUUUUUUCUUUAAAAACAGACGUCGCCGCCGCCACCACUCUAGGACAGGUACGAAUUGUUCACGAGACCGAAGGAGGACGAGCUGCGUCUUGUGAGGUGCGCCGCAUAACCCACAGUGAAUGCCAGCGGAGUUACCCCCAUCAAGGUAAGCAUUUCCGAAGGUCGAAAGAAAACGGGACACGGUAUACCGCCCUUUGCCUUACCGUAUCUUGCCUUCGGUGAACUAUGUAUAUUAUUCCAGUCUAAUUCACGAGCUGACCUGCGUCCUAAUUACUUCUGUUGCAAUUUCUCAUACUCUCUCCUGUUCGGUAAUUGGUUUCAGGAGGUCUGUUUGGUUAAAGUACUUCUAAUGGAGAAAUGGCGCCUCAUCAGCUGGUCGUCUUUCGCUUAAAUCAAUAUGGUAAUGAAGGAGAGGCCUGGUUCAUGCUUGUUUUUUUCUUUUCUUUUUUUACCUUUUUUGUUUGGUUUUGGGAACGUGAGUUAAAUGAUGAUUACCUUGGCGUGAUUUCGGUUAUGAUUUAAAACAAGGUGGAGGCGAUUCGGUCCCACGAUUAAGGAAGUGAGUGUGGAGUUAAUUUGCUUGUUUAUUUAUCUUAUCUUGAGAUGGAGUUGAUAGUGUUUGGGCGGAGGAAAGAA